rnacentral:rRNA from 1 species
CCCCGGUAAACGGCGGCCGUAACUAUAACGGUCCUAAGGUAGCGAAAUUCCUUGUCGGGUAAGUUCCGACCUGCACGAAUGGCGUAAUGAUGGCCAGGCUGUCUCCACCCGAGACUCAGUGAAAUUGAACUCGCUGUGAAGAUGCAGUGUACCCGCGGCAAGACGGAAAGACCCCGUGAACCUUUACUAUAGCUUGACACUGAACAUUGAGCCUUGAUGUGUAGGAUAGGUGGGAGGCUUUGAAGUGUGGACGCCAGUCUGCAUGGAGCCGACCUUGAAAUACCACCCUUUAAUGUUUGAUGUUCUAACGUGGACCCGUAAUCCGGGUUGCGGACAGUGUCUGGUGGGUAGUUUGACUGGGGCGGUCUCCUCCUAAAGAGUAACGGAGGAGCACGAAGGUUGGCUAAUCCUGGUCGGACAUCAGGAGGUUAGUGCAAUGGCAUAAGCCAGCUUGACUGCGAGCGUGACGGCGCGAGCAGGUGCGAAAGCAGGUCAUAGUGAUCCGGUGGUUCUGAAUGGAAGGGCCAUCGCUCAACGGAUAAAAGGUACUCCGGGGAUAACAGGCUGAUACCGCCCAAGAGUUCAUAUCGACGGCGGUGUUUGGCACCUCGAUGUCGGCUCAUCACAUCCUGGGGCUGAAGUAGGUCCCAAGGGUAUGGCUGUUCGCCAUUUAAAGUGGUACGCGAGCUGGGUUUAGAACGUCGUGAGACAGUUCGGUCCCUAUCUGCCGUGGGCGCUGGAGAACUGAGGGGGGCUGCUCCUAGUACGAGAGGACCGGAGUGGACGCAUCACUGGUGUUCGGGUUGUCAUGCCAAUGGCACUGCCCGGUAGCUAAAUGCGGAAGAGAUAAGUGCUGAAAGCAUCUAAGCACGAAACUUGCCCCGAGAUGAGUUCUCCCUGAGACUUAGAGUCUCCUGAAGGAACGUUGAAAACGACGACGUUGAUAGGCCGGGUGUGUAAGCGCAGCGAUGCGUUGAGCUAACCGGUACUAAUGAACCGUGAGGCUUAACCUUACAACGCCGAAG